UUUUUUUUUCCUUAUUUUACAAUUUUUAAAGAGGGUUGACUUUGAGCUGCAAACCUUAACCCUGGUUUGGCAUUUUCUUCGCUUUGAUUGAUCUGCUGCAAACCUUAACCCUGGUUUGGCAUUUUCUUCGCUUUGAUUGAUCUGCUGAAAACCCUAACCCUGAUUUGCAGUUUGUAAAAAGUCAAUAAAAUUUUAUUUCAACGAAAUCGUGAAUAAAAAUUAUGCCUGGAAAUUUUGAUUCUCUUAUGAAAAAAAAUAAAACGAAUCUGGUUAAUUUAUGGAAAACUAUAAAAACAAUGUUUUUGUUUCCUGAUUUAUCGAAAUAAUUGUCAAUCAAAGUGAGCAUGUAGUAAAUGUGAACCUAAAUUCUAUGGAAACCCUAGAGUGGCGAGUGAACAUUAAUUUUUUUUUCUUUGAUUUACAGUUUUUAAAUCGCUCUAGUGAUGUAUCAAAAUAAUGGUCAACGAUUUGAUAAACUAUAAAAAGAAUGUUUUUAAAUCACUGAUUUAUUUUGGGUCACCAAAAAGGGUUACAUGUUGCAAAGAUAAAUUAAUUUAUUUUUUGCAGCCUUACAUCUUUUAUAUUUAUGUAGAAAUUACUAUUGUUCAUUCAAAGUUCUAUGCGGUAUAACAUGCUAGUUUAAUGCUCAAGAUGCUAUUUUUUGAUCUCAACUGAUGGAUUUCUAAUGGAAUUAGUUGGUAUUAGCUUACAAUUCUGUAGCCGUUUUUUGGGUUGUUAGCCUUUGAUGAACUCAACAGUAUGAUAAAUAACUUCCUCUUAUAAUUUUGUAAUUUUUUACUGACUUUCUGUUACAAUUUUCAAAAUGAGCCUAUUUAUUGUUCAUUUGUUGGCUAUUGAUUUUUUUGGUCAUGGUAAAUUGAGGGAGUAAAUAUGUGAUAAUCAAUUCCCAACGUGUCAUGUAAGAGUUGAGGCUAGAGAAAGAGUCUGUAGUUGCAGAAGAUUUGUUGUAUGGGUUUAGUUGAGGAGUCAUGUAAUUCUGAGUCAAUAAAGGGAGUUAAGAGACAGAGAGAAGUUGCCUAUGCAAGUGUGGGUGAUAUAGAUGAGAGUGAGAGAUUGGUUGUCUCUAUUAGUUAAAUGCAAUUGGAAGGAAUCUUUUUAAUAGCAACCUCUGCCUAGGGGGGGAAACAUGUAUGAGAGAGUGAUGGGUUUCCGCAACUAUAGCAGAUUGUGCCUAUGGAAAGACAGAGACUUCGAAUAUAAAGUUGGAGAGAGACUGCAGUAAAAUGCACAAGGUAGUGUGUGUGUGAGAGAGAGGUAUUCUGGUAUUGAUUUGGAUUUUUGGAGCUAUCUGAGGUCUGGAUUUAAAUUGCUUGGCCUAUUGACCUAUAAAUUUAUAAUAGUCUCAUGACUGCGUUACAAGCAACAAAGAGAAAGGAGAUGAGUCCCACAGCUGUGUAUUUGAGAACUUGUGCUUGAUUUUACUUCCAAUGAAAUGGACAUCUAGAACGCUGCUUGCUAGCUCUAUUUCUCUCGCAUUUCAUGUCACAUUUCCAAUUGGAAUUUAUUCAUGCAUGGAUCAAUCCUUAUUGAUGAAGUUUAUUGCAUGAAUCAGUAAUCAAUAAUUUUGCAUAAAUCAAUGCUUAGUGAAUGAAGCAAUGCGUAUUGAUGUAAUUGUGGGCAUGCUAAUUUACUGUCUUCUGUUGCCUUUCAAGAUAGUAUCAGUCUUUCACUGCCAAUGAGUCGAAAUUGUUAGGAUAGGAUCUAUUCACAUGUCUUUGAGUUCUUGUGAUCUUUACUUUCCUUAUUUAACUCUGAAAAUAAUUUUUAUUAGUCAGUUGAUUGAUCAAAGUUCUGUGACCUUUGCUCUUCAUGACGUUUGUCUCUUUCAAGAACAUCAAAAUGAGAAGCUGAUUGUUAGAUGUCUUUUAUAACUAGACUGUCUUUUGGAACCUACUUUUGCAUCAUAUGCUGCUUAAACUAGCAGUCACAAGUCACAACUCACACAUACAUGGGGUCUCUAGCAUAAUAGAUUGGGGAAAUGAAUUGUCAUUAGACUUCAAAUAUUGCUUGCUUCUGGUCCCUUUGUUCUAAUUCAUGUAUUUUUCAUUGAAAUCUCAAAUAGUUAGUAGGGUUGCAACUUUUGUAAAAACAGGCUAAACAUCACUACUUAUUUCUACAUGUCUUUUUCAUUGAAAUCUCUAAUAGUUGUAGGGUUGCAACUUUUGUAAAAACAGGCUAAACAUCACUACUUAUUUCUACAAUUUUGAGAAUAAAACUUUGCAAUGUAGCUACAUUUGAUUCUGUUUAUUCGAAUGUCAAGGCCCAUUUUCUGUUAUAGAUUGGACGAACAUGACAUUGCAACACAGUUGUGUCCAUUCUGGGAAUAAAACUUUGCUAUACUCUCUCUCUCUCGCUCAUUAUCUCUCUGUUUGAGUGAUUGCUUUCAUGUUACUAUUUCAAAGGUGGCAAAUCUUCUAUAAUGUACUGGUGUGAUGGCAAAAUGGAAUGGAUAGCUUUUAAACUUUUAAAUAUCUAUUUCUUAAAUAAUAGGAAUAUGUUUACUCUUACAUGCUGCUUGUGUAUUGAGUGAAAUUUUGAUAUUGAGAAAAUCAAUUUUGUUUCUUGUUUAUGUAAAUAUUGGUAGCAUCAAAGGCGGUUCAUACUUUUAUAAAAUCUCCAAUCACAAUAAAGUAUUUCUUGAAUCUAUUUACUUGUUUGGUAUUAUUAUGUUUGAUGAAAGGAAGGAACCUUAUUUACUUACAAAAUGUUAUUAAAGUGCAUUUUGCACAUCAUAUCUAUAAAAUACAUAAUGAACAAUGUUAGAUGCAGUUUCCAGCUUUCCCGUUGCCAAACAGGUGAAAGUACGAGCACUACAGUUUAUCAAACAGGGUUUCCAGCUUUCACCCUACUAAUUUUCACCUGCAUCCCAUAAUUCAUUUUCACCUGCAUCCUAGAAUUCAGGAAAGUCAAUAGCUAGGGUGAUUCCCUAGGAGAUUGCAGUGGAAGUUAGUCUCAUCCCUUUGUUUUUCAAGGAUUUUGUGUGUUUUAUUGAUAAAUCCCUCUCUUUAUUUUCCUUAAUUUACUCUCCUUCCCUCCCACCAUAUUAAUAAAGGAAAACAUUUAUAUAGAGCCGAGGCUCUAAACAAUCAAAUUAGAGCCCACCUGAAAAUUUUCACUAGAAGAGGUUGGUUUGAUGCCCAAAUAUCCUGAAAUUGAUCAUCUUGACAUCAAGAUGCAUGGACUUGAGAAAGAAAUGGAUUUCAAGUUUGGAAAUAAUGCAUUUGUAACACAUUUUUGGACCGUCAAUUUUCAAGUUUUUCAAGUUUUCAUAGAUCUGUUCGAUCUACACUAUUUUUAAG
rnacentral:lncRNA from 1 species